UCUUUUCGCCGACCUCAGAGCAGGUG
rnacentral:rRNA from 1 species